rnacentral:rRNA from 1 species
UACGAAGGGGGCUAGCGUUGUUCGGAAUCACUGGGCGUAAAGGGCGCGUAGGCGGCCGAUCAAGUCGGGGGUGAAAGCCUGUGGCUCAACCACAGAAUGGCCUUUGAUACUGGCGAUCUCGAGUCCGGGAGAGGUGAGUGGAACUGCGAGUGUAGAGGUGAAAUUCGUAGAUAUUCGCAAGAACACCAGUGGCGAAGGCGGCUCACUGGCCCGGUACUGACGCUGAGGUGCGAAAGCGUGGGGAGCAAACAGG